rnacentral:misc_RNA from 1 species
CUGUCUCGCUUGGUGCAAAACCCACCUCUCAACCAGGCCUCAUACGGCCAUUUUGGGCGUCGCUCGGUAGCCAGGCUCCCCACGCGCGGCAGCUCGCUCGCAGCCGCAUUCGCUCGCGCAGCCCCGCGUGCUAGGGUUUCCCGAGCUCUCCCUCGAGCUGGAUCCCGCGUGCUAGGGUUUGCCGUCGUCUCGGUCGGGUACGCCAUCUCCACUCGCCCUCCCUCUCUCCCUCGAGCUGGAUCCCGCGUGCUAGGGUUUGGCGCCGCCUCGGCCGGGUACGCCAUCUCCACUCGCCCUCCCUCUCUCCCUCGAGAUCUCCCUCUCUCCCUCUCCCUCUCCCUCGAGAUCUCCAUCGGUGUCGUCGCCGUGACUCGUCUGUGCCGAGCUCUCCCUCUCUCCCUCGAGCUCUCCCUCUCCCUUGAGAUCUCCAUCGGUGUCGUCGCCAUCACUUGUCUGUGCCGAGCUCUCCCUCUCUCCGUCGAGCUCUCCCUCCGCUGUCAAAGCAAUGGAUCCUACUAUUGCACGUCGGCGGCUAAUUGCAAAGCUAUGGCUGACAUGGUCUCUGGGGUUGCUAGCCAGGGGGCUAGGCCUGCUCUUAGGUGGAGUGCCGCAAUGUCUGGGUUUGUUCUACGCCGUUUUGUUGACUUGAUAGGUACUGGGGUUAGGACUGACAAGGGUUUUAAGGAAAUCCACCUUAACUCUGUUGCUAAAAAUGUCUCCGAAUUCUGUGGCCAAGAAGUAACAGGCCAGCAAGUGUACAAUCACCUUCGUAAGUGGAGGUCUAGGUGGGUCAAAGUUUGCAAACUAAAGGACAUUAGUGGCGCUCUUUGGGAUGAGGAUACCUUUGUCAUAAGCUUAGAAGAGGGUCAUUAUGCUGCUUACAUCAAGGAUCACCCAAAAGAUGUUGAUUACCUCAAUAGGCCCAUAGAGAACUAUAUGGCUAUGCAAAUCAUUUUUGGAAGUGGGGUUGCCACUGGUAGGUUUGCAAUGGGUUCAAAUGAGCCUUUGGGCAAGCCAAGUGACAUUGUUGACAUCUUAGAUGAUGGCAUUGAAGUGACCUCAGAGUUUGUUGAUGCUUCCAAUCUAACUGGCAAGGGAAAGACUGUUGAUAAGGGUACCCCUGGUGACUCCAUUGAUACCAAGCCUAUGUCCAACUUAGGGAAGAGGAAGAGCAUCCGUGCUGAAGCAGCACCUGGGAUCUACAAUGUUGUAAUCAACUGUCCUGGGUUCUCUAGGGAGGCUCUCAUGUAUGCCCUAAACCACAUGAUGGAGCACAAGGCCACCUCCCUGGUGUUCCUGGACAUGACUCCUGAUGAUCGUGACCUAUGGCUCAAGACUUUCCUAGCCAAGCACUACCACAACUGA